GAUGAACGCUAGCGGCAGGCUUAACACAUGCAAGUCGAGGGGUAUUGGUUUUCGGACCAAGAGACCGGCGCACGGGUGCGUAACGCGUAUGCAAUCUACCUUUUGCAGAGGGAUAGCCCCAGAGAAAUUUGGAUUAAUACCUCAUAGUAUAGUACUUUGGCAUCAAGGAACUAUUAAAGUCACAACGGCAAAAGAUGAGCAUGCGUCCCAUUAGCUAGUUGGUAAGGUAACGGCUUACCAAGGCUACGAUGGGUAGGGGUCCUGAGAGGGAGAUCCCCCACACUGGUACUGAGACACGGACCAGACUCCUACGGGAGGCAGCAGUGAGGAAUAUUGGGCAAUGGGCGCAAGCCUGAUCCAGCCAUGCCGCGUGCAGGAUGACGGUCCUAAUGGAUUUGUAAAACUGCUUUUUAUACAGGAAGAAACACUCCGACGUGUCGGAGCUUGAC
rnacentral:rRNA from 1 species